rnacentral:rRNA from 1 species
UACGUAGGGUGCAAGCGUUGUCCGGAAUUAUUGGGCGUAAAGAGCUCGUAGGCGGUCUGUCGCGUCUGCUGUGAAAACUCAGGGCUUAACCCUGAGCUUGCAGUGGGUACGGGCAGACUAGAGUGCGGUAGGGGAGACUGGAAUUCCUGGUGUAGCGGUGAAAUGCGCAGAUAUCAGGAGGAACACCGGUGGAGAAGGCGGGUCUCUGGGCCGUAACUGACGCUGAGGAGCGAAAGCAUGGGGAGCGAACAGG